AUUGAACGCUGGCGGCAGGCUUAACACAUGCAAGUCGAACGAGUGGCGGACGGGUGAGUAAUGCGGGGGAAACUAGCUCAUGGAGGGGGAAAACUACGGGAAACUGUAGGUAAUAACGGGUACAAUAGGAGGAGCCCAAGUGGGAUUAGGGAGUUGGUGAGGGAAAGGCUAACAGAGAGGACGAUCUCUAGCUGGGCUGAGAGGAAGACCGGCAACAUGGGGACUGAGACACGGCCCAGCCUCCUCCGGGAGGCAGCAGUGGGGAAUAUUGCGCAAUGUGGGCAAUCUGACACAGCAAUGCCGCGUGAAGGAAGAAGGCCUUCGGGUGUUAAAGUUCUUUCGGUAGCGAGGCGUUAACUACAGAAGAAGCACCGGCUAACUCCGUGCCAGCAGCCGCGGUAAUUC
rnacentral:rRNA from 1 species